UACGGAGGAUGCGAGCGUUAUCCGGAUUUAUUGGGUUUAAAGGGUGCGUAGGCGGUCCGUUAAGUCAGCGGUAAAAAUGCGGUGCUCAACGCCGUCGAGCCGUUGAAACUGGCGUUCUUGAGUGGGCGAGAAGUAUGCGGAAUGCGUGGUGUAGCGGUGAAAUGCAUAGAUAUCACGCAGAACUCCGAUUGCGAAGGCAGCAUACCGGCGCCCUACUGACGCUGAGGCGCGAAAGCGUGGGUAUCGAACAGG
rnacentral:rRNA from 1 species